rnacentral:rRNA from 1 species
UAGAGUUUGAUCAUGGCUCAGAUUGAACGCUGGCGGCAGGCCUAACACAUGCAAGUCGAGCGGUAACACAAGGGAGCUUGCUCCUGAGGUGACGAGCGGCGGACGGGUGAGUAAUGCCUAGGUAUCUGCCCAGUCGAGGGGGAUAACAGUUGGAAACGACUGCUAAUACCGCAUACGCCCUACGGAGGAAAGGAGGGGACCUUCGGGCCUUUCGCGAUUGGAUGAACCUAGGUGGGAUUAGCUAGUAGGUGGGGUAAUGGCUCACCUAGGCGACGAUCCCUAGCUGGUCUGAGAGGAUGAUCAGCCACACUGGAACUGAGACACGGUCCAGACUCCUACGGGAGGCAGCAGUGGGGAAUAUUGCACAAUGGGCGAAAGCCUGAUGCAGCCAUGCCGCGUGUAUGAAGGAGGCCUUCGGGUUGUAAAGUACUUUCAGCGAGGAGGAAAGCUCAAUUGUUAAUAGCAGUUGGGUGUGACGUUACUCGCAGAAGAAGCACCGGCUAACUUCGUGCCAGCAGCCGCGGUAAUACGAGGGGUGCAAGCGUUAAUCGGAAUUACUGGGCGUAAAGCGUACGCAGGCGGUUUGUUAAGCGAGAUGUGAAAGCCCCGGGCUCAACCUGGGAACUGCAUUUCGAACUGGCAAACUAGAGUCCUGUAGAGGGGAGUAGAAUUUCA